rnacentral:rRNA from 1 species
GACAUAGGUCGCGAACGUUUAUCCGGAAUUAUUGGGCGUAAAGGAUGCGUAGGUGGUUCGGUAAGUUACUGGUGGGAAAUCGAGGCUCAACCUCGUGGAAGUCAGUAAUACUAUCGAGCUUGAGUGCAGGAGAGGUUAAUGGAAUUUUAUGUGGAGCGGUAAAAUGCGUAGAUAUAUAAAAGAACAUCAAUUGGCGAAGGCAGUUAACUAUUCUGCUACUGACAUUGAGGCAUGAAAGCGUGGGGAGCAAAACGGG